AGGGUUUGACCCCUCGAAGCCUGACUGGCCGUACAUCAGUCACCAGGUCCUGAGGGACUCCUCAGAGAGAAUCACAGUCACCAUCGGAGAUGGACAGGAGACUGACGGAUAUCUGAACGUGGCACUGCACCCAGACAGAGAGUACACAGUCACCCUGAGAGCAGUCAUCAAGUGGAAUGGGGUAACCACCUUCAGGUGCUCUCCACCCAGACAGAUUCUCAGACGCUUGUGACACGAACGAUCGACCGUGCCCUGACGGGAAAGGAUAACCCCCCCACCCGCAUACCAGGCAGCGGUGCUGGAGGAGCCUGUGAUGGGGGCACCCCAAGGAAAGAUUACGGGAUCGGUAUCAGAGGGAAUGGAGGAGAUAUGCCUGAGAGAGAAGCGCGGGACAACUUAUGAUUUUACUUUAUAACUGUAUCUCUCAUUUCUAAUCCUUCCCAUAUUAGGGCCUCAGAAUGUGAGGGCUGAGGUGCAGAGACCCCCUAGUUGUGUAUUUUUUUUCUCUCUCUUUCCCGUUCAAAUUGACAACAGGUAAAUUUGUGCUUUUAUGCUGCAGUUAGAGAUUGUGAAGUGCUAUAUGCCUCGAGACUCAACAGACUAUUGUUCACUCAAGAGAUUCCUAGCCAUCAUCUGGUAUUCCUAAAUGGCUUCGAUUGGUCUCGACGGCCACUGUUCACAGUAAUAAGCCAGUUACCACUGCCCGUGUCCGUCCUUAACGUCUGUGAAAUGGAUGUGGGUUUUUAUUGGUCAGUGAAGGUGACUGGUUAGCCAAUGACGGGUAAGAUUCCUCGAGCGAGGAACAACCUAAGACAGGCACAGUCGUGCAUUGACCUUCAGAAUAAUGGCCUGUGGUCAUGUGGCUUUAGCAGAUCCCUGGCUUUUGUAUCCGUGUCGGGAAUCUGAUUAAGUUUCUGGCUUGCAAAGCAGCUUGAUAGAAGGAAAAUCGUGCACUCAGUAAAUUGUAUUCACUGUAUUUUUGAGGAAGGAAAAUGCCAGUUUUGUGGCAGCUUCCAGAACCGACUUAACAACAGACCUUUGGGAAGGAGGGAAAGCUCAUUGAAUCCUAUUGCAAAAGAUUUGACACGAUGUCAGUAGUUUAAAAUUAUUUUAGGAUGUCAUGAUAUAAUACAACCGAUUUUAAUGAGUAGUUGUACAAUUAGGUGUUCUUUGGACAGCAGACCUUCAUUCUGCAGGCGUCCUAACUCAUCCACUUUGUGUUUUCCUCUGGUUCUCUUCGCUUUUGUUAUCAUACUCAGUAUGAAUGUUUUUUUUAAUCGUUUUGAUGGUUUUGAGAUAGCUUUUUGUAGAUGUUUUCUUUAAAAGACGUAACCUAGAAUUGCCUACUAUUUGUUAAUUUUUGCUUGUUGCUUGUUUUGUAGAGGUAUGCUGCUUAAGGAUCCCUUCACUCCGAACUAGUGUAUCCCUAGGACCGGUCGGCCUGGUUGAGAUAACGUGUUCGGAGAAGCCAAAGGGACGCGAGGGGGGCGUCCGCCGACACACCCGGCCCCGGUUGCCGCGCGACAUUGCGUUUGUAACGGUUUGGGUUGUUGUGGCCUCAGUAGAGACCAAGGGAGGGAGUGUUGGGAUGUAUAUCUAAUAAGCCUAGGGAGGGUAGAACUGUAGUUGCUGCUUGGGAAAUCGGGGGGCGCUGCGGAGCUGCUGUUUGGACUGUUCACCGAAACUGCCUGUGCAGCUGGACUACCAAGGUCAGACCAAUACAAUGGCAGCCUUCACUCGGAGACCUUGUUUACGAGACAGACCAUCUCGUGGAUACCUGCCAAGGCUGAGGCCUGUUCACAGGAGGCCUUUGUCUGUGAGAGAUCACGUGUGUGAGUGAUUACGUAGUGUUAGCUUAGCGAACAAUAUAUCAAGCAGGGGUUUUUUGGAAAGAUUUCAGAAGGCGCCUUCUCCAGUGAACUGUAAACACCUCACUGUAUGUUGUGUACGGCUCUCUCUCAGUAAACAGCUUAUAUUUUGAA